rnacentral:misc_RNA from 1 species
GGAGAACCGAUCCUAUUGUGGGUUAUGUAGGUGGCUCCAUCGUUAUAGCCGGUGGCACGUGCGAUUUUGAAGAUGAUCCAUUAGCUGUGGAAAUUUACAAUAACGAAACCAACACUUGGGAAACGUCUGAAUCAAUGCCCGCCAUACUCAAAGACUCAGCGGCAUCUACGUGGCUGUCAAUCGCUGCCACCGGCGAUAAACUCGUCGUUGCAGAGAAAUUCACCGGAGUUACUUACUGUUUCCAUCCGAAAA